CACGUAGGGCGCAAGCGUUGUCCGGAAUUAUUGGGCGUAAAGAGCUCGUAGGCGGUCUGUUGCGUCCGCUGUGAAAACUCGGGGCUUAACCCCGAGCCUGCAGUGGAUACGGGCAGACUAGAGGUAGGUAGGGGAGAAUGGAAUUCCCGGUGUAGCGGUGAAAUGCGCAGAUAUCAGGAAGAACACCCGUGGCGAAGGCGGUUCUCUGGGCCUGUACUGACGCUGAGGAGCGAAAGCGUGGGGAGCGAACAGG
rnacentral:rRNA from 1 species